GAUUUGAUCAGUCAGGCUGCUGGCUAUAUUCCAGGACAAGUCUGGUCCUGAUAUAGCCAAGCCCGACUGU
ensembl:miRNA Gm23873 predicted gene, 23873